rnacentral:misc_RNA from 1 species
GAUGAAGAACGCAGCGAAAUGCGAUAAGUAAUGUGAAUUGCAGAAUUCAGUGAAUCAUCGAAUCUUUGAACGCACAUUGCGCCCCCUGGCAUUCCGGGGGGCAUGCCUGUUCGAGCGUCAUUACAACCCUCAAGCUCAGCUUGGUGUUGGGCCCCGCCGCCCCGGCGGGCCCUAAAGUCAGUGGCGGUGCCGUCCGGCUCCGAGCGUAGUAAUUCUUCUCGCUCUGGAGGUCCGGUCGUGUGCUCGCCAGCAACCCCCAAUUUUUUUCAGGUUGACCUCGGAUCAGGUAGGGAUACCCGCUGAACUUAAGCAUAUCAAUAAGCGGAGGA